GGGUUGUGAGGUUAAGCGACUAAGCGUACACGGUGGAUGCCCUGGCAGUCAGAGGCGAUGAAGGACGUGCUAAUCUGCGAUAAGCGUCGGUAAGGUGAUAUGAACCGUUAUAACCGGCGAUUUCCGAAUGGGGAAACCCAGUGUGAUUCGUCACACUAUCAUUAACUGAAUCCAUAGGUUAAUGAGGCGAACCGGGGGAACUGAAACAUCUAAGUACCCCGAGGAAAAGAAAUCAACCGAGAUUCCCCCAGUAGCGGCGAGCGAACGGGGAGGAGCCCAGAGCCUGAAUCAGUGUGUGUGUUAGUGGAAGCGUCUGGAAAGGCGCGCGAUACAGGGUGACAGCCCCGUACACAAAAAUGCACAUGCUGUGAGCUCGAUGAGUAGGGCGGGACACGUGGUAUCCUGUCUGAAUAUGGGGGGACCAUCCUCCAAGGCUAAAUACUCCUGACUGACCGAUAGUGAACCAGUACCGUGAGGGAAAGGCGAAAAGAACCCCGGCGAGGGGAGUGAAAAAGAACCUGAAACCGUGUACGUACAAGCAGUGGGAGCACAGAGCAAUCUGUGUGACUGCGUACCUUUUGUAUAAUGGGUCAGCGACUUAUAUUCUGUAGCAAGGUUAACCGAAUAGGGGAGCCGAAGGGAAACCGAGUCUUAACUGGGCGUUAAGUUGCAGGGUAUAGACCCGAAACCCGGUGAUCUAGCCAUGGGCAGGUUGAAGGUUGGGUAACACUAACUGGAGGACCGAACCGACUAAUGUUGAAAAAUUAGCGGAUGACUUGUGGCUGGGGGUGAAAGGCCAAUCAAACCGGGAGAUAGCUGGUUCUCCCCGAAAGCUAUUUAGGUAGCGCCUCGUGAAUUCAUCUCCGGGGGUAGAGCACUGUUUCGGCAAGGGGGUCAUCCCGACUUACCAACCCGAUGCAAACUGCGAAUACCGGAGAAUGUUAUCACGGGAGACACACGGCGGGUGCUAACGUCCGUCGUGAAGAGGGAAACAACCCAGACCGCCAGCUAAGGUCCCAAAGUCAUGGUUAAGUGGGAAACGAUGUGGGAAGGCCCAGACAGCCAGGAUGUUGGCUUAGAAGCAGCCAUCAUUUAAAGAAAGCGUAAUAGCUCACUGGUCGAGUCGGCCUGCGCGGAAGAUGUAACGGGGCUAAACCAUGCACCGAAGCUGCGGCAGCGACACUAUGUGUUGUUGGGUAGGGGAGCGUUCUGUAAGCCUGUGAAGGUGUGCUGUGAGGCAUGCUGGAGGUAUCAGAAGUGCGAAUGCUGACAUAAGUAACGAUAAAGCGGGUGAAAAGCCCGCUCGCCGGAAGACCAAGGGUUCCUGUCCAACGUUAAUCGGGGCAGGGUGAGUCGACCCCUAAGGCGAGGCCGAAAGGCGUAGUCGAUGGGAAACAGGUUAAUAUUCCUGUACUUGGUGUUACUGCGAAGGGGGGACGGAGAAGGCUAUGUUGGCCGGGCGACGGUUGUCCCGGUUUAAGCGUGUAGGCUGGUUUUCCAGGCAAAUCCGGAAAAUCAAGGCUGAGGCGUGAUGACGAGGCACUACGGUGCUGAAGCAACAAAUGCCCUGCUUCCAGGAAAAGCCUCUAAGCAUCAGGUAACAUCAAAUCGUACCCCAAACCGACACAGGUGGUCAGGUAGAGAAUACCAAGGCGCUUGAGAGAACUCGGGUGAAGGAACUAGGCAAAAUGGUGCCGUAACUUCGGGAGAAGGCACGCUGAUAUGUAGGUGAAGCGACUUGCUCGUGGAGCUGAAAUCAGUCGAAGAUACCAGCUGGCUGCAACUGUUUAUUAAAAACACAGCACUGUGCAAACACGAAAGUGGACGUAUACGGUGUGACGCCUGCCCGGUGCCGGAAGGUUAAUUGAUGGGGUUAGCGCAAGCGAAGCUCUUGAUCGAAGCCCCGGUAAACGGCGGCCGUAACUAUAACGGUCCUAAGGUAGCGAAAUUCCUUGUCGGGUAAGUUCCGACCUGCACGAAUGGCGUAAUGAUGGCCAGGCUGUCUCCACCCGAGACUCAGUGAAAUUGAACUCGCUGUGAAGAUGCAGUGUACCCGCGGCAAGACGGAAAGACCCCGUGAACCUUUACUAUAGCUUGACACUGAACAUUGAGCCUUGAUGUGUAGGAUAGGUGGGAGGCUUUGAAGUGUGGACGCCAGUCUGCAUGGAGCCGACCUUGAAAUACCACCCUUUAAUGUUUGAUGUUCUAACGUUGACCCGUAAUCCGGGUUGCGGACAGUGUCUGGUGGGUAGUUUGACUGGGGCGGUCUCCUCCUAAAGAGUAACGGAGGAGCACGAAGGUUGGCUAAUCCUGGUCGGACAUCAGGAGGUUAGUGCAAUGGCAUAAGCCAGCUUGACUGCGAGCGUGACGGCGCGAGCAGGUGCGAAAGCAGGUCAUAGUGAUCCGGUGGUUCUGAAUGGAAGGGCCAUCGCUCAACGGAUAAAAGGUACUCCGGGGAUAACAGGCUGAUACCGCCCAAGAGUUCAUAUCGACGGCGGUGUUUGGCACCUCGAUGUCGGCUCAUCACAUCCUGGGGCUGAAGUAGGUCCCAAGGGUAUGGCUGUUCGCCAUUUAAAGUGGUACGCGAGCUGGGUUUAGAACGUCGUGAGACAGUUCGGUCCCUAUCUGCCGUGGGCGCUGGAGAACUGAGGGGGGCUGCUCCUAGUACGAGAGGACCGGAGUGGACGCAUCACUGGUGUUCGGGUUGUCAUGCCAAUGGCACUGCCCGGUAGCUAAAUGCGGAAGAGAUAAGUGCUGAAAGCAUCUAAGCACGAAACUUGCCCCGAGAUGAGUUCUCCCUGACUCCUUGAGAGUCCUGAAGGAACGUUGAAGACGACGACGUUGAUAGGCCGGGUGUGUAAGCGCAGCGAUGCGUUGAGCUAACCGGUACUAAUGAACCGUGAGGCUUAACCUUACAACGCCGAAGG
rnacentral:rRNA from 1 species